rnacentral:tmRNA from 2 species
GGGGGCGACAUUGGCUUCGACGUUGAUUACAAACCCUUUGGUGCAUGUCGUGUGGGUAGCAACACACGUACUUCAAGUGCUGCAAAUGAUAGUUGCAAACGACGACAACUACGCUUUAGCCGCUUAAGGCUAAACCGCCACAAGGGCUUGCUUGUGGGAACGAAGUGGCGGUAAUUAAACACAAGAUCGCGGCGCGGCCUGCCUGGUGCCAAACCGCUAAAACCUUACAGGCUGGCUUUUUACUCCCUGUCUAGUCGGGUCGUAACGAGCGAGAUUAAUAGACAAGACUAAGCAUGUAGAUCCUUAGGCAGCGGAUUGGCGGACGCGGGUUCGAUCCCCGCCGCCUCCACCA